AAUAGAUACCCUGGUAGUCCACGCCCUAAACGAUGUCAACUAGUUGUCGGGUCUUCAUUGACUUGGUAACGUAGCUAACGCGUGAAGUUGACCGCCUGGGGAGUACGGUCGCAAGAUUAAAACUCAAAGGAAUUGACGGGGACCCGCACAAGCGGUGGAUGAUGUGGAUUAAUUCGAUGCAACGCGAAAAACCUUACCUACCCUUGACAUGUAUGGAACCCUGCCGAGAGGUGGGGGUGCCCGAAAGGGAGCCAUAACACAGGUGCUGCAUGGCUGUCGUCAGCUCGUGUCGUGAGAUGUUGGGUUAAGUCCCGCAACGAGCGCAACCCUUGUCCCUAGUUGCUACGCAAGAGCACUCCAGGGAGACUGCCGGUGACAAACCGGAGGAAGGUGGGGAUGACGUCAAGUCCUCAUGGCCCUUAUGGGUAGGGCUUCACACGUCAUACAAUGGUCGGAACAGAGGGUCGCCAACCCGGCGAGGGGGUAGCCAAUCCCAGAAAACCGAUCGUAGUCCGGAUCGCACUCUGCAACUCGACUGCA
rnacentral:rRNA from 1 species